rnacentral:tRNA from 1 species
GCCUGGGUGGCUCAGUCGGUUAAGCAUCAGACUUCAGCUCAGGUUGUGAUCUCUCAGUUUGUGGGUUCAAGCCCUGCAUCAGGCU